rnacentral:rRNA from 1 species
CCUGUGAGGGUUGCUGGAGGUAUCAGAAGUGCGAAUGCUGACAUAAGUAACGAUAAUGCGGGUGAAAAACCCGCACGCCGGAAGACCAAGGGUUCCUGUCCAACGUUAAUCGGGGCAGGGUGAGUCGACCCCUAAGGCGAGGCCGAAAGGCGUAGUCGAUGGGAAACAGGUUAAUAUUCCUGUACUUGGUGUUACUGCGAAGGGGGGACGGAGAAGGCUAUGUUAGCCGGGCGACGGUUGUCCCGGUUUAAGCAUGUAGGCGGAGGUUCCAGGUAAAUCCGGUACCUUAUUAACGCUGAGGUGUGAUGACGAGGCACUACGGUGCUGAAGU